rnacentral:rRNA from 3 species
CAGACCUCUGAUCAGGAAAGACUACCCGCUGAGUU